AGAGGUGUACAGCUGGAAGCCACCUCAGAAGGUCCCCAAAGCCCCAUCAGUUAUGCCUGAGCUGCUAUUGACAAGCGUUCUUCACAAUUUCCAGUGUGGACAUUUCACAUCUCUUUUCAGGUUUAGUUACUGCAGUUACGCUGAACGGUGACAAAUUGUGUCAUGGUAUUGCGAUGAAGACAAAUACUUCCUGAGGAGAGAAGAAAUCUGAAAUUUUCACUCGUGUACUGAAGUCUGAAGAGACAAAAGGAAAAUUGACUGUACUGCCGUACUGGAAUACCUCCCCAAAGUAAGCUACAGCUCCUAGUGGUCACAUUUGUGCUGUCUUUGUCAGCCACACUGGGGACAGCUCUGACACUCAGCCUGUUGGUACAGAUUGACUUCUGUCCACAAGGAUUUCAUGGACAUGGCAAGCCUCCUGGGAGCCCUCAGGGAAAAGAGCAGCAUGGCUGCAAGUUGUGGCAUCAUCCAGGGGAAUCCAAUGACUCUACAACUACUUGUGUAGGAACUUGGUUGCUUUAUCUGAUUGCAAGAUCACCUGUGAAAGUGUCACAGAAUCUGAGGUAUCCUACCAUUUGACUUGUGCAUCGUUUCGCUGUCCAGUUAGAAGAAAAUUAUGUUCUUUUUCUCAACCAAAAGGGAGUGUGUCUUAGGCAUCAGUCCGGUUUACCAAGUAUUGCCA